GAAAGUUUUAACGCCGAAAGAUGAGCCUGCACUUGAUUAGCUAGUUGGUAAGGUAAAGGCUUACCAAGGCAAUGAUCAAUAGCUGUUCUUAGAGGAAGACAGCCACAUUGGGACUGAGACACGGCCCAGACUCCUACGGGAGGCAGCAGUGGGGAAUCUUGCACAAUGGGGGAAACCCUGAUGCAGCGAUGCCGCGUGAGUGAAGAAGGCCUUUGGGUUGUAAAACUCUUUCGUCGGGGAAGAAAAUGACUGUACCCGAAUAAGAAG
rnacentral:rRNA from 1 species